ACCAUAAAGCAGGGGAUGCUUUAGGGCGUGGCUACCUUGUGAUUGACAGGUCGCUACCACGGCGUUGUCUGGUCUGGGAGUUGUCCGUGUUUUCGUCUUACAACUUUAACCCUUUCAAAGCGUGUUCUCAGUUCAUGGAAGUUGAUUAUAAGAUUUUUUGUCGACUAAAAAUGUCUU